AAGCAUGGUGAGGAUAUUUUUUUAGCAUUGCCUUAAAUCUCUCUCAACUUUCAUAAAUUUUCUCUCCUUUAAAUUUGAAAAAUGAUGUGAUGUCAUCUCUAAGCUU